rnacentral:rRNA from 1 species
GGACGAACGCUGGCGGCGUGCCUAAUACAUGCAAGUCGAACGGUCUUUCUAUGGAAGCUUGCUUCCACUGAGAAGAUAGUGGCGAACGGGUGAGUAACACGUGGGUAACCUGCCCAUAAGAGGGGGAGUAACAUCCGGAAACGGGUGCUAAUACCGCAUAGUUUUCUUGAUCGCAUGAUCGGGAAAGGAAAGACGGCCUUUGUGCUGUCGCUUAUGGAUGGACCCGCGGCGUAUUAGUUAGUUGGUGAGGUAACGGCUCACCAAGACGAUGAUACGUAGCCGACCUGAGAGGGUGAUCGGCCACAUUGGGACUGAGACACGGCCCAAACUCCUACGGGAGGCAGCAGUAGGGAAUCUUCCGCAAUGGACGAAAGUCUGACGGAGCAACGCCGCGUGAGUGAAAGAAGGUUUUCGGAUCGUAAAACUCUGUUGUCAGAGAAGAACAAGUUGGAGAGUAACUGCUCCAGCCUUGACGGUAUCUGACCAGAAAGCCACGGCUAACUACGUGCCAGCCGCGGC